UAAGGUGGUUAUAGCAUCGGGGCUCACCUCUUACCAUUCCGAACAGAGAAGUUAAGCCCGUUAGCGCCAAUGGUACUACAAUCCGUGGGAGAGUAGGUCGCCGCCUUCCU
rnacentral:rRNA from 1 species